rnacentral:lncRNA from 1 species
GGCGCUGAUAGCUGGACCGCGCCUCAACCGAGCUUGGUCCUUCCCUUUAGUCCCGCCCCACUGCUCCGCGCGGAUUGGCGGCGGGAAGCAGCUCUGGCGCUGAUUGGGCGGCGGUGGAGUCGCUCGUGGAGACGGUAAGUUCGGGUGCCCCAGAGUGCUAAAUUUAUCUUCAGACAAGCGACCGCGCCAGCCGCGAAUCGGAUGGCUAUGGAGGUGGCAUAGGCGAUAUCCCUGAGCCGAGAGCAUCACCCUGUCCCCGAAUCCUUCUUUCCUCUGUUUUGUUUUUCAUUUACCCCCUUCCUUUCUCCCUUCUCCCCCCCUCCAGUCCGCGACGACUGGCUCUUGACCCUGUUCAGGCCUCGGUGAAGGCUUUUGGUUACUCCCCUUCCACCCUAUCCCUUAAUUUAAUUUUUUCGAAGAAUCUACAUUUCAAGCUGCCAAGGUGGAGAGUGUGACUACAGAAGGGACUGCUUCUCAUUUCAGGUAACAGUACUCCGUCUGAAAGACGCUGGUGAGUAUAAUGCCAUUGCCCUUACAAAAACUGUUCAAGGAACCAUAGUAUUCCUCUGGCCACAGGAAUUGGCCCAGAAGUAGCAUGUGACCCAAUACAGGCAAGUGA